GGCACCGUAGCGUAAUGGCUAACGCGUUGCUUUCCGGUGGCAAAGACUGUGAGUUCGAGUCCCAUCGGUGUCG
rnacentral:tRNA from 1 species